GAUGAAGAACGCAGCGAAAUGCGAUAAGUAAUGUGAAUUGCAGAAUUCAGUGAAUCAUCGAAUCUUUGAGCGCACAUUGCGCCCGCCAGUAUUCUGGCGGGCAUGCCUGUCUGAGCGUCAUUUCAACCCUCAUGCCCCUAGGGCGUGGUGUUGGGGAUCGGCCAAAGCCCGCGAGGGACGGCCGGCCCCUAAAUCUAGUGGCGGACCCGUCGUGGCCUCCUCUGCGAAGUAGUGAUAUUCCGCAUCGGAGAGCGACGAGCCCCUGCCGUUAAACCCCCAACUUUCCAAGGUUGACCUCAGAUCAGGUAGGAAUACCCGCUGAACUUAAGCAUAUCAAUAAGCGGAGGA
rnacentral:misc_RNA from 1 species